rnacentral:rRNA from 1 species
GAUGAACGCUAGCGGCAGGCUUAAUACAUGCAAGUCGAGGGGCAGCACGGUUAGCAAUAACUGGUGGCGACCGGCGCACGGGUGCGUAACACGUAUACAAUCUACCUUAAACAGGGGGAUAGCCUUUCGAAAGAGAGAUUAAUACCCCGUAAUAAAUUGAACGGCAUCGUUUGAUUUUGAAAGCUCCGGCGGUUUGAGAUGAGUAUGCGUCUGAUUAGCUAGUUGGUGAGGUAACGGCUCACCAAGGCGACGAUCAGUAGGGGAUCUGAGAGGACUAACCCCCCACACUGGUACUGAGACACGGACCAGACUCCUACGGGAGGCAGCAGUAAGGAAUAUUGGUCAAUGGAGGCAACUCUGAACCAGCCAUGCCGCGUGCAGGAUGACGGCCCUAUGGGUUGUAAACUGCUUUUAUACAAGAGAAAACCCUGGUACGUGUACCAGGUUGAUAGUAUUGUAAGAAUAAGCAUCGGCUAACUUCGUG